CACGCACACACACGCACUUCCACACACCAGGUGUGACUGACCCCGUGGCCCAUAUUUCACGAGCUUUCACAUAUGCUGAGCCCCGGGAGGACACAGAAACCCUCAAUGACACUCGUGAUUUGGGUUUCAAUGCUUCUCUUCUUCUGCCAGACUCCAGGGGCCUCGCCCCGACUCCAUCCUCCGGCACGGAAUUCAGAGAGCCUCAUACGCGCAAGGUUCUGGACGAGACACUGUAAAAGUCCUGGGAUAAUGAGAGGACGUGAGGCCCUCCCUCUAGGAGCUUACAAACCUAAGAAAACAACACUCGGGAAGGCACACGUGGUCAGUUCUCAUUUAUCUGCACCUGGAGACAUGGCAAAUAAGGAGGCAAAUAAAUAAUCAAACCAUCA